UCCUGGCUCAGGAUGAACGCUAGCUACAGGCUUAACACAUGCAAGUCGAGGGGCAGCAUUGGGAUAGCUGCUAUUCAGAUGGCGACCGGCGCACGGGUGAGUAACGCGUAUCCAACCUCCUGCCAGUAAGGAACAGCCCGGCGAAAGUCGGAUUAAUGCCCUAUGUUCUUCAAUGCGGACAUCUAAGUUGAAGGAAAGAUUCAUCGCUGGCAGAUGGGGAUGCGUCCGAUUAGCUUGCCGGCGGGGUAACGGCCCACCGGGGCGACGAUCGGUAGGGGUUCUGAGAGGAAGGUCCCCCACACUGGUACUGAGACACGGACCAGACUCCUACGGGAGGCAGCAGUGAGGAAUAUUGGUCAAUGGGCGUAAGCCUGAACCAGCCAAGUAGCGUGCAGGAUGACGGCCCUACGGGUUGUAAACUGCUUUUAUGCGGGGAUAAAGUGCGGCACGUGUGCCGCUUUGCAGGUACCGCAUGAAUAAGGACCGGCUAAUUCCGUGCCAGCCGCGGC
rnacentral:rRNA from 1 species